rnacentral:miRNA from 1 species
AGACGACACUUCAAAGAUUUCUCC